AUCUGCUUGUGAAACUGUUACCUUAAAUUUUCUCUUUGUCGUCCGAUCCCUUAAUUGAGUGGUAGAAUAGUUCCCUCCGGUGUAACCUUUGUCUUUCCAACACCUACCUGCACACAAAUAUCAUUAGAUUACAAUCCAUCCAGAGGUUCUUAAGUUAUGUUGACCACGAAUACGUGGAAACACAGACAGACUUGGACACACGGACAUACCAAAAGCAAAACCUCCAGUAUUCACGGAGGUAACGAGGCCUGCUUAUUCACGUGGCCACGUUCUUACUUAAUCAAUUACACAAUACAGACAAUCAAGUCCAACACUCAAUUACAUAACGGAUAUGAAAUCAGAAAAAAAAUCACUCUGAAAAGGAAGUGUGGGGGUACAUGGAUAAGUUUCGGUGGAAGUAAUUUAUUUCUUCAAUUUGGUAUAAUAGUAUGUGUACGUGAGGUAAUCAAACUGCGUUGAUUACAUCAACGGUUGUUGCGCAUUGCGGCAAAUCAGGGUGGAGGGGUUGGAUAUAGGUGAAAAGUAACAACACUAAAAUAAAGUCUGAAUUGUAAGGGCUGCUGCAUGGAAAGAAAAUGACCGCGAAGGAUGUCAUUUCUUUCAUUCUAACGGAAAUAAGAGACUUGUAAAUGGAACAGUGGCAGAAUCAGAAGUAUCAAAAGUAAGCACAGUAAGUAUAUCCUGGCUGUGUACAAACAUUCUUAACAAACGUUAUCCAUCCCUCACUACUGUUUUACCCUCAUAUUCUUUCCAUCCCAUCGGGUUCUGCUAUGAAUUAGCACAAUAUAUCUACGUAUAGAACUGUCUAAGUUGACAAACUACUAGCUGAAAUUAUGGCAAAAAAAUCAAACAAGGGUUUCAACUUCCACCGCCAAAUUAGUGACAUAAAACAAAGUUGGACUGACGUCUGUAGCGUUGCCAUGGCUACAGACCGAGAGUGUUGAGAGGAGUGCGGCACGUCGGGAAGAACAGACCAGAAACAGGAAAGUGCAGAGACGACAACUUUCGUUUUCAUGUCCCGAGGAAAGUAAGAUGCAGCCAUGAGAACAAACAACCGCCGCCGCCUGAUCCACCGAGACUGCUGGCCGUUUUCCGGGCUGUUCCUGUUGAGACGCAGCACCCCUGCCGCACAAGGCCGUGGUGGACGGGAGGGGCGACCUCCGUAGCCGGAGAGCCAGCCGGCUGGUUGUCCGCCCUCCCCGACUAUAGGGGAUAACAACCCUGCAGCAGACAGCGGCACAGACCGUUUAGACAGAACUUAGCUGUUAUAUAGUUUCAUGUCUAGCAUGUUAAAUGUAGUACAGCAGGUGG